ensembl:lncRNA
UCUCUUUUCCAGCCCCGUUCACCACCACUCUUUUCUAGCCCCAUUCACCCCAUCCAGCCCUGUUCACCCAUUCCAGCCCCGUUCACCACCGCUCUUUUCCAGCCCCGUUCACCACCACUCUUCUCCAGCCCCGUUCACCACCGCUCUUUUCUAGCCCCAUUCACCUUCUCCAGCCCCGUUCACCACCCCUCCUCUCCAGCCCCAUUCACCAUCUCUCUUUUCCAGCCCCGUUCACCACCUCUCUUUUCCAGCCCCGUUCACCACCUCUCUUCUCCAGCCCCGUUCACCACCCCUCUUCUCCAGCCCCGUUCACCACCUCUCCAGCCCCGUUCACCCCCUCUCCAGCCCCGUUCACCACCUCUCCAGCCCCGUUCACCACCUCUCCAGCCCCGUUCACCACCACUCCUCUCCAGCCCUGUUCACCACCUCUCCAGCCCCGUUCACCACCUCUCCUCUCCAGCCCCGUUCACCACCUCUCUUCUCCAGCCCCGUUCACCACCUCUCCAGCCCCGUUCACCACCUCUCCUCUCCAGCCCCGUUCACCACCUCUCCUCUCCAGCCCCGUUCACCUCCUUCUCCAGCCCCGUUCAUCACCUCUCCAGCACCAUUCACCACCUCCUCCAGCCCCGUUCACCUCCUCUCUUCUCCAGCCCCGUUCACCACCUCUCCAGCCCUGAGUCCUCUGCUCAGAAUGAGCUAAAAACUGAUCGACUGGACUGGUGGAGCAGAAUGUAGGCAUGAAAGGUUCAGACCAAUGGACAGUCUUACUCUGGAGCCUCCACUUCUUCUCUCAACCUGUUACAUAUCAGCUGAAAUACUGCAAUAAGACAAGACCAUAUCUAGAGGUGUUACUGAAAACGACUACUAUAAUAAUUCAGAUAUUUAGAUCUGGUAGCAAAUGGGAGUGUUGUAUCUUUUUGUCACAGGUCUGGUUGCCGAUUAGCUCUGGUCUAGGACGAUAGUGCGACUUGCUAACGCUGAGCCUUGACUAGUUGGUUGAUUUUCCAGCUCUAGUUUAACUAAUUAUAGAAUGGUUCCCAAAGAAAAUCGUUUCAACUUUAUUUAUUAAUCUCGAAGCAAUAUUCGGGUAUGUUGGAUUUACUAGCCGUGAGAGAGAGUUCAGUUUUGAUGUUAUUUUCAAUACACUUGAGGUGUUGUCGUUUCAUCCAAACGUUUUGACAGUUGGUCAAUCUGCCUUGUAUCGUUGAUUUUUUUAUUUUUAUUUACUUCAUAGACAUCUGAUGUCAUCUUCGUCCCAAAUGGAACACUUCCCUGGGGCUCUGGUCAAAUCCUAUCUAUGGUUAGGAGGUCAUCACAACUAAUGUCUUGGUUACAGUCAAGGGAUUCAAUGUCAGGAAUGGCUACGGUUUCAUCACCCAUGAAACCCACCAGGUUAUAAAGGAAAUUUAACCCAAGGAUGACUGCCAGAUUUAAAGGUGUAUAAAGGGGUUUUACAUGGCAUGAUGUCACUGUCGGACUGAUGUUAAUAGCAGACACAUUAUAAAACCUUUUAGGAUGAAACGAGAUAAAGGUUGACGUUAAAGUUGAAAAUAAGAGAACUUUGAAAGUGUGAACUGUCCCCUUUAAGCAGAGAGAGAGAGAGAGAGGGUGAACUGACCCCUUUAAGCAGAGAGAGAGAGAGAGAGGGUGAACUGACCCCUUUAAGCAGAGAGAGAGAGGCAGAGAGAGAGGGUGAACUGACCCCUUUAAGCAGAGAGAGAGAUAUGGUGAACUGACCCCUUUAAGCAGAG